CCUCCCACCUCAGCCUCCUGGGAAGCUGGGACUACAGGGCGGUGAAAAUAAAGGAACGAGGCAUUCAGGAAAAGAAGAGAGCACAGGUUUGUGAACUCCAGACUAGAAGCAAGCAUACUGAUAUCCAAUCCCCUCAAUUCACUAUGCAUGGAUGUCUCAUAGUCACCAAGGCCCUGCGGUUUGUGAAACAUGGAAUUAGAGCAACGGUAAAGAAGUUCCAUUUCCCAUCCAGGGGAACAUCAGGCCUAACUGACAAGUGCAGGUGCUGAGGCUGAUUGAAUAGGACAGAGAGGAGCAGCCAGGGGAGAUGCCGAGCACCCAGGGCCUGCAGCCAAGCUCCCCAGCAGACCAAAUGAGGCUUGUGCCAACACAGUGGGCCUGUCCCAAGCCCAGAGAAAGGCUCUGAAGACACAAAAGAGGACUGCCUUGCUCUGCCAGGGAGGCCCAAGACAAAAAGCAGCAUUCCAGGCCAGAGAAUGCCAGGAAAUGCAAAGAUGCUUGCAAAUUCCUGAAGCCUAGGAGAGAAAUCCUAGCAGACCUGACAAGUAUCUUCUUCACCUAAGUGAGGUUCCCCUCCUUGGAUUUGCCUCUGACGAAAGUCACAGGCUGGAAAUGCAGAAGUUCCUCUGCCAGUGAGGAGCGGGACCAGUUGGGACAGACAGCCUUACCAUCCAAGUUACCAGGCCUUUUUGUUUAAAAAACACUGAGUGCCCAAAGUGGCUUGUAAGGGUAAACAGAGGGUGACUGCUAACGCACACCUGAAGGUGUUAAAGAAAAAAAAAAUCAACAACAAAAAAUGUAUAUGCUUUUUCUGAAAGGUUGCUGUUGAUCCUUUUUCUAAGGUUUCCUUUUGACUUACAAGAAUGGAAAUGAGGAAGUAGGAAGGAGAUAGCACGCUUCACCAUGGUCUAGCACAAGUACUACCAGCAAAUUGAUAGUCAUGUUCAGAAAUGAACUCUGCAUUCAACACACUCAUGGCAUUUGACCACUGAUUUUGCUUCUAGGAAAUAUUUAGAAAUAAGUAAAGAGUGACCAGGCACGGUGGCUCACUCCUGUAUUCCCAGCACUUUGGGACGCCAA